rnacentral:rRNA from 1 species
CCUACGGGGUGCAGCAGUGGGGAAUAUUGGACAAUGGGCGAAAGCCUGAUCCAGCCAUGCCGCGUGUGUGAAGAAGGCCUUCGGGUUGUAAAGCACUUUCAGUGGGGAAGAAAGCCUUGGGGCUAAUACCCUCGAGGAAGGACAUCACCCACAGAAGAAGCACCGGCUAACUCCGUGCCAGCAGCCGCGGUAAUACGGAGGGUGCGAGCGUUAAUCGGAAUUACUGGGCGUAAAGCGCGCGUAGGCGGUCUGAUAAGCCGGUUGUGAAAGCCCCGGGCUCAACCUGGGAACGGCAUCCGGAACUGUCAGGCUAGAGUGCAGGAGAGGAAGGUAGAAUUCCCGGUGUAGCGGUGAAAUGCGUAGAGAUCGGGAGGAAUACCAGGGGCGAAGGCGGCCUUCUGGACUGACACUGACGCUGAGGUGCGAAAGCGUGGGUAGCAAACAGGAUUAGAUACCCCGGUAGUC